CCUCCAGAGCUUCCUGACGAUGUCGUGGAGGAAGUUCUCCGGCGUCUCCUGCCGGACGAGCCGGCCCACCUCGCCCGCGCAUCACUCGUCUCCAAGCCCUGGUGCCGCCUCCUCUGCAACCCCGCCUUCCGCCGCAGCUACCACAGGGCGCCACCCAUGCUGGGCUUCUUCCACAACGCUGGCUCCUACGACCACCCGGUGGCCCGCUUCGUCCGCUCCAAAGCCUUGUGCCCGCGCUAUCCGGAUAUCAGCAACUUCCGUGUUCGUGACUGCCGACACGGCCGGGUCCUCCUCCAAGCCAGUAGGAGCUCUCUGUUCGUCGUCUGGGACCCCAUGACGGGCAGCCGGAGGGAGGUGCGCCUGCCUGCUGGCCUGGUGGCCUACGAGUAUGAUGUUGUGGUGCUGUGCGCUUUGGGAGGAGCCUGCAACCACCACGCCUGCCAUGAGGGCCCCAUCCUCGUGGUAUACGUAGGCAUCAAAGUCAUGACAAAGGCAAUAAGCGCCUGCGUGUACUCGUCUGACACGGGCAAAUGGAGCGCGCAGACUUCUGCGUACAUCCCCAAAAAGCGUUGGAGUUGUGUAGUCAGUACUGCCAUUGUCGGAGGUGCACUCUAUUUGCUCUGCUCUGAUUACGGUAAGAAUCGCCAUGAAAUUCUCAAGUAUGACUGGAGCAGGCAUUGCCUAUCUGUGAUUGACAUGCCGCGUUGGGUUAAUUCUGGUCCUUCCUGCUGUCCCCUUCUUGCGGCACCGGAGGAGGGUAGGCUGGGAUUUGCCCAACUGAUAACGUACUACGGUACCCAACCGAGAGCCCUCCUCCGCAUGUGUUCAAGGGACGUGAAUGCCGAUGGGGACGGGUCCAUUUAUGCAUGGACAGAUCGCAGAGAAAUUGAUCUCAACGCACUCCUCCCAACUGGAGAUCGCGCGACCAAAUUAUACUUGCAUGGCUCUGUGGAAGGCACUGACAUCGUUUUCAUCGUCGCAAAUAGCUCUCCUUUUGUCCUCUAUGAGAUUGAUCUCAAGUCCCUGCAGACCAGGAAAUUGUAUGAAGGAAAAGGAGAAGGAAGAAUCACCCAUAAUAUCUUCCCCUUCAUGAGCUUCUACACUCCAGCAGGUACCCUCCUUUUU
rnacentral:rRNA from 1 species